ensembl:snRNA U6 U6 spliceosomal RNA
GUGCUCGCUUCGGCAGCACAUAUACUAAAUAUUGGAACGAUACAGAGAAGAUUAGCAUGGCCCCUGCAGAAGGAUGACACACAGGUUCAUGAAUGUCCCAUAUUUUUU